CCCUUGUUCAGUAAUAUGGAAUGACUGGUGGUGGUGGAGAUGCAUAGGAGACUCCUACAACUGGUGGAAGAGGUACAUUUUCGUAUGUUGGCGGUGGCGGUGAUGGCGAUGGUGGUGGGGGUGAUGAAUAGUAGUAAGUUGGUGGUGGAGGUGAUGGUGAUGGUGGUGGCGGUGAUGUGUAAUGGUAAGUGGGAGGGGGAGGUGAUGGUGGUGGUGGUGAUGAAUAGGUAUAUGGUGGUGAUGGUUUUGGUUCCCAGUGUGAAGUCGGAGGUGGAGGAGGUGGAUCAUUGCAAGGUAGGGUAGGUGGGGCAGGAGUGUAUCCACCUGGUGGUGGUGAUGGAUAUGGAGUUUUUGGAUGUUCGUAUGACGGUGGUGGUGGUGGUGGUGGUGGUGGUGAUGGAGUUCUUGGAUGUUCAUAUGUUGGUGGUGGUGGUGGUGAAUGUGGCGUAUACGUUGGUGGCUCGUGAUACACUGGGGGUGGUGGUGAAUGAGGCGUAUAUUUUGGUGGCUCGUGAUACACUGGGGGUGGUGGUAAAUGAGGCGUAUACGUAGGUGGCUCGUGAUACACUGGGGGUGAUGGAGAAUGAUAAACUGGUGGUGGUGGUGAUGGAGAUGGGCGGUAAUAUAAAGGUGAUGGUGGAGGAGGAGGUGAUUGAUGAGUUACUGGAGAAAUUUUAUGCAUAGGUGGUGGAGGACUUCUAUGUUGAUAGGUUGGGGACUUUUUGUAGGUAGGUGGUGGUGGUGGUGGUGGAGGCAGAGGAGUUGAUUGAGGUGGCGGUGGAGAAUGCUUGUUAUGCGAACCCGAAGAUUUCGAAGAAGGUGGUGGUGGAGAUUCAAUUGGUACAACAGGUCUUGUUGGACGAGAUGGCUUUGGUGCUGGUGGUUUGUUGUGAACAGGUGGUCUCUUAGGUUUUUGUGUUGGUUUUGGUCUUGGCUUUGUUGUAGGAGAUGUAGCAAAAUGGCUAAAACACUUUGAUUUCCUACAAUCAUAUGGUUUUGCAUCAUCAGAAGAGCAUUCCUUAGCAGAUCUUUGAUUCUUUUUUCCAGCGAUGCAGUUUUCUUUGCCAUCUCCAGAUCUAGUAGCAGCGCAAACCGGGGCAUCCCCGGUGAAGUAAUUGAAAGAGUAUGUAAAGUUUUGCAACCUAGGAAGUUGGCAAAUGCUGGCUGGUAUAGUACCAGUGAGCUUGUUGUGAGCCACAUUGAGUUGUUCCACACUCCUCAUUCUGCUAACUGUUGACGGCAAUGGACCUUGAAUCUUGUUGAAGCUAACAUCAAACACUGUCAGCUUCUUCAACAUCCCAAUCUCCUGUGGCAAACACCCAGUAAGGUUGUCAUUCAUCAGUAUUAGCUCAUUCAAAGUGUUGGCCAUUUUCCCAAUGCUGGCUGGAAUGCAUCCUCCAAGAUUGUUGUUGGCAAACACGAGAACAGAAACAGGUGAGUUACCCAAGUUCUCAGGGAUGCCAAAGCGGAAUCUGUUGUCAUUAAGGAACAAUGCAUCCAAAUCUUUGUCGAAAAGCUUAGAAGGAACUGGUCCUUCAAAGUCAUUAAACCUUAGAUCCAAGAACUUCAAAGAAGGCAACGAAAGAACCACCUUAGGGAAUCCACCAACAAACCUAUUGUUGCUCAAAUCAAGCUCCCUAAGAAGCUUCAAAUGGCUAAAGGUUUUAGGUACGACCCCGCAAAAUCGAUUCGAGUUGAGAUGGAAAAGAACUAGAUCUGUAAGAAGACCUAGUUCAGGAACUAAAGAACCAGCAAUGUCAGCAUGGUUAAGAUCAAUGCCAGCGACAACUCUUAUAGAAUCAUCAGUUAAUGAUGGUGCACAAAAUCCCCCGCCAUAGGAACAAACAUUUGGUCCUGUCCAAUUAGCUGUGAAGUUAAAAGGAUCAGAAAGCAUAGCUGCUUUCCAAGAUUGCAACGCGAUGUAGGCAUCGCGAAGCUUUGGGUUUUCGAAACUCAACUUGCUAGCAUUGGCCUUAAUGUCAUCUAAAUCAAUAUCAUUGUCACCACCUUCUUGUCCUACAACAGAUGAGAUCUGGAAGGACAAAAGGGAAAUAACAACGAAAGAUAUUAACAUAAACCAGGCGCGGCGGCUAGGAGGCCGCAUUGCUGCUAUUUUGUUGAUAUGAACACGGUGGAAACUAAUUAUCAAGCUAAGAAGAAAUAAUGAAGUUUUUUUCUUGUAAGGUGAAUAGGUUUUUGUUGUGCUGUGUGCUACUUGUAAAGUUUGAGAAGAUGGCAAGUGAACGAAUGAAUAGAUUUGAAUUAAAUAGCAACUAGACACCUCUAUUUAUUCCUUCACAGCUCUUUGCCCCUUUGUGUUUUACUUUUCAUUUUCUCUUGUCAACUUUCCUAUUCUAUUUUCGUACUCGGGAGACACAUUAUAAUGACAUGCCAGCACGUCUUUAAUAAAAUCUUGGUUUAUAUUUGAAUAAUUGACAUAACAUUAAGAUUCUCUGUUUUUUUAAUUAUACAAUAAAAGAAAAAAUAUCCUUGAUUGCAAAUGACCUUCAAUUUGCCAACUAUACUACUCGUUUUUGAAAGGAAAAAAGGAACAUUGACGGUGCCAGAUUGGUGUGGAAGUACUCACAAGGGUUUUAGUAGUAUUUAAAUUUAAUUAUUUAGAAGGGCACCGAUUUCAAUGACUACGGCAGUUUAGUAGUUUGAAUUACAUUACUCCGUUCGUCUCAUUAUAUCAGUCUUAAAUUAGAAUGACACAACUAUUAAGAAAAUAAUAAUUGAUAAUAUAAUUUUAUUAUUUUGUUCCUCUUAAUUGUGUCUUGUUGUUAGUUUCAAUAUUGAUAGAUGGCUAAUAUCAAAGCAUCAUUUAUAUUCUUAAUGGUACUCCUCUUUGCAACAUUUUUCAAGAAUACUAAUAACAAGGAGUAAUCAAUUAUACUAAGGGAAUAAUGAAAAAAAAAAUUAUCUUAUCUUAAUAAGUAAAUUAGGAGAUCAAAUUAGAAAAUUUGAGACGGAGAGAGUAUAAAAUAAUGCAUUCAAGGGCGUGGCCUAUUUAUCGAUGAAGUGAAUUAAGAAAUUAA
rnacentral:lncRNA from 1 species